GUGAUGUGAUGCCUGAGGUUGGAGGAGGAGUGAUACAGAGGUUUGACCGAGGAGGAAAGAAUGGCAGUUCCACAUCAUGACUGUCAACUGAGCAUCUCAGCUAAGCCAUGUAACAGGUGAACUGGAAGUGUCUUUCCUGUUGUUCUGGAAAUGAUGCAGAAGGGCUGGACCCCGGCUAAACCCCACUCUUAAGCCUGGAACCAUGGCCCUAAGUGAAAACAGCUGACCCCAUUUUUCUGUGCAAAUGUUGCCUUUUUGGCCUGCCCCGCCCCUAUCUUGUGCCCAUAAAAGACUUCAGCUGGCAGAGCAAUACUAGCGGCUGAGCUUUGAAGAUACAAGUGGCUGAGUGUUGGAGACUACAGACAGACAAAGCUAACUUCAGAAUGUACAGCUUCGGAAAGGGGCCCAGCUGGAAAUAGCCGGGCUUCAGAGGAAGAUCACCCUCCCUUCCCCUUUCCAGUCUCCCUUUCUGCUGAGAGCCACCCACCGCUCAGUAAAGUCUUCCACAUUCAUCACCUUUCAAACAUUCCUAUGACCUGAUUCUUCCUGGAUGUCGGACAAGAACCCAGGUGCCAAGAGGGCAGGGGCUGCCACCCUGACCCUCCACUGAGCCAGUUGACACUUGGCCAUCCCUAGAUGGCAGCUGAAAGAGCUUUGGUUGUAACACACUUGGAGGCUGCCGUGAGGUCUGCACAGAGCCUGCUCCCACCAGAGAGGAGCCACUGACUGGUUCUAGCAUUCAUUCACUCUGGUUCCUGCAGUCCCUUGCUCACAUACUCCCUCCUGUGAGGAAUGGCCAGCAGCAGACUAUGAUAUGAGCCACUCCAGUUCCAGCCUGUGAAGGGGGUCAAGGGAACUAUCCCAUCUCAGUACAGUAUUAUAUAGUUACAAAUUUUCGGAGUAUCUUAACUGAGAAGAAAAUGGCAUUGUUUUCCAUACCAAUUAGAAUAAGAAAUGCUUGCAAAGAAUGACAGUAAAGGUGUGGUGGCUCAUGCCUGUAAUCCCAGCACUUUGGGAACCAAAGUGGGCAGAUCCCUUGUUGCCCAGGCUUGGCAACAUAGCAAGACCUUGUCUCUACAAAAAAUACAAAAAAAAUUAGCCAAGCAUGGUGAUGCAUGCCUAUAGUCUCAGCUACCCAGGAGGCUGAGGUCGGAAGAUCACCUGAACUCAGGAUCGGGGGUGAGUCAAGGCUGCAGUGAGUGAGCCGUGAUGACGCCGCUGUGCUCCAGCCUGGGUGACAGAGUGAGACCCUAUCUCAAAAAUAAAUAAAUAAAUAGUAUUACAUCUUAAAAGCUUUACAAAUGCUUUCAUACAAAUGUAAAUUUCUUACAGGAGAGUCCAUCUAAAGAGUACCUGUAUGUUCAUUAAAAUAAUCUAAAGAAUUUAAAAGUCGUUACCUCUAAUAAAUGAUAUCUUUGCCCUCAGUGUGUAAAAUUAUGUUUAGUUAUUUGAAUAUUUUGUUUAAAAAUACUUCUCUACCUGUUGUAGUGUAUAUAGGCUAAGUAAUUUAGUAAUAAAGCAUUGUUUUA
rnacentral:lncRNA from 10 species